rnacentral:rRNA from 1 species
UACAGAGGUGCAAGCGUUGUCCGGAAUCACUGGGCGUAAAGGGCGCGUAGGCGGCCUGAUAAGUCGGGGUGAAAUUCUGCGGCUUAACCGCAGGACGGCCUUCGAGACUGUCGGGCGUUGAGCACGGUAGAGGCUGGCGGAAUUCCUGGUGUAGCGGUGAAAUGCGCAGAUAUCAGGAGGAACACCGGUGGCGAAGGCGGAUCUCUGGGCCUGAUCCUGACGCUGAGGCGCGAAAGCGU